rfam:Beta vulgaris subsp. vulgaris Bvchr4_un.sca029.con0011.1, whole genome shotgun sequence.
CGGUGCAAUCAUACCAGCACUAAUGCACCGGAUCCCAUCAAAAUUCUGCAGUUAAGCGUGCUUGGGCGCGGGUAGUACUAAGAUGGGUGACCUCCUAGGAAGUCCUCGUAUUGCACCCC